rnacentral:rRNA from 1 species
UACGGGGGGGGCAAGCGUUGUUCGGAAUUACUGGGCGUAAAGCGCACGUAGGCGGCUUUGUAAGUUAGAGGUGAAAGCCCGGAGCUCAACUCCGGAAUUGCCUUUAAGACUGCAUCGCUCGAAUCAUGGAGAGGUGAGUGGAAUUCCGAGUGUAGAGGUGAAAUUCGUAGAUAUUCGGAAGAACACCAGUGGCGAAGGCGACUCACUGGACAUGUAUUGACGCUGAGGCGCGAAAGCGUGGGGAGCAAACAGG